rnacentral:rRNA from 1 species
UACGUAGGGGGCAAGCGUUGUCCGGAAUCAUUGGGCGUAAAGAGCGCGUAGGCGGUCCGGUAAGUCCGCUCUGAAAGUCCGGGGCUCAACCCCGGGAGGCGGGCGGAUACUGUCGGGCUAGAGUCCGGAAGAGGCGAGUGGAAUUCCUGGUGUAGCGGUGAAAUGCGCAGAUAUCAGGAGGAACACCGGUGGCGAAGGCGGGUCUCUGGGCCGGUACAGACGCUGAGGAGCGAAAGCGUGGGGAGCAAACAGG